GACGAACGCUGGCGGCGUGCCUAAUACAUGCAAGUCGAGCGGAACUGGGGGAGCUUGCUCCUUCCAGUUUAGCGGCGGGCGGGUGAGUAACACGUGGGCAACCUGCCCUGCAGAUCGGGAUAACUCCGGGAAACCGGUGCUAAUACCGGAUAGUUUGGCGCCUCUCCUGAGGCGCUACGGAAAGACGGUUUCGGCUGUCACUGCAGGAGGGGCCCGCGGCGAAUUAGCUUGUUGGUGGGGUAACGGCCCACCAAGGCGACGAUGCGUGGCCGACCGAGGAGGGUGCCCGGCCACCCUGGGACGGAGCCCCGGCCCAGACUCCUACGGGAGGAAGCAGUAGGGAAUCUUCCCCAAUGAACGCAAGUCUGCCGGAGCAACGCCGCGUGAGUGACGAAGGUUUUCGGAUCGUAAAACUCUUUUGUGAGGGAAGGACACGUACCAACUAACUAUGGGUACCUUGACGGUCCCUCACCAGAAAGCCACGGCUAACUACGUGCCAGCCCCCGCCGUAA
rnacentral:rRNA from 1 species